rnacentral:rRNA from 1 species
CGGUCUGGCGGCGAGUGGCGAACGGGUGAGUAAUGUAUCGGAACGUGCUUAGUAGCGGGGGAUAACUACUCGAAAGAGUAGCUAAUACCGCAUACGCCCUACGGGGGAAAGGGGGGGAUCGCAAGACCUCUCACUAUUAGAGCGGCCGAUAUCGGAUUAGCUAGUUGGUGAGGUAAAGGCUCACCAAGGCGACGAUCCGUAGCUGGUUUGAGAGGACGACCAGCCACACUGGGACUGAGACACGGCCCAGACUCCUACGGGAGGCAGCAGUGGGGAAUUUUGGACAAUGGGGGAAACCCUGAUCCAGCCAUUCCGCGUGUGCGAUGAAGGCCUUCGGGUUGUAAAGCACUUUUGGCAGGAAAGAAAUCGCACCAAUUAAUACUUGGUGUGGAUGACGGUACCUGCAGAAUAAGCACCGGCUAACUACGUGCCAGCAGCCGCGGUAAUACGUAGGGUGCAAGCGUUAAUCGGAAUUACUGGGCGUAAAGCGUGCGCAGGCGGUUCGGAAAGAGAGGUGUGAAAUCCCAGGGCUCAACCUUGGAACUGCACUUUUAACUACCGAGCUAGAGUAUGUCAGAGGGGGGUGGAAUUCCGCGUGUAGCAGUGAAAUGCGUAGAUAUGCGGAGGAACACCGAUGGCGAAGGCAGCCCCCUGGGAUAAUACUGACGCUCAUGCACGAAAGCGUGGGGAGCAAACAGGA